rnacentral:rRNA from 1 species
GACGAACGCUGGCGGCGUGCUUAACACAUGCAAGUCGAACGAUGAACCCGGAGCUUGCUCCGGUGGAUUAGUGGCGAACGGGUGAGUAACACGUGAGUAACCUGCCCUUGACUCUGGGAUAACUGCGGGAAACUGUAGCUAAUACCGGAUACGACCCUCGGCGGCAUCGCCAGGGGGUGGAAAGAAUUUCGGUCAUGGAUGGACUCGCGGCCUAUCAGCUAGUUGGUGAGGUAACGGCUCACCAAGGCGACGACGGGUAGCCGGCCUGAGAGGGUGACCGGCCACACUGGGACUGAGAUACGGACCAGACUACUACGGGGGGCAGCAGUUGGGAAUAUUGCACAAUGGGCGCCAGCCUGAUGCAGCGACGCCGCGUGAGGGAUGACGGCCUUCGGGUUGUAAACCUCUUUCAGCACCGACGAAGCGCAAGUGACGGUAGGUGCAGAAGAAGGACCGGCCAACUACGUGCCAGCCGCCGCAGUAA